rnacentral:rRNA from 1 species
GACGAACGCUGGCGGCGUGCCUAAUACAUGCAAGUCGAACGGUUUAGUUCCAAGAGGCUUGCCUUUUGGAACUAGACAGUGGCGGACGGGUGAGUAACACGUAGGCCACCUACCUGUCAAACCGUGAUAACCUCGGGAAACCGAAGCUAAACCCGGAUAAGCUCCUUUUUCGCAGGAAGGGGGAGUGAAAAGGUGCGACCUGAUGACAGAUGGGCCUGCGGCGCAUUAGCUAGUAGGUAGGGUAACGGCCUACCUAGGCGAUGAUGCGUAGCCGACCUGAGAGGGCGUACGGCCACACGGGGACUGAGAUACGGCCCAGACUCGUACGGGAGGAAGCAGUAGGGAAUCGUCGGCAAUGGGCGAAAGCCUGACCGGGCAACGCCGCGUGAGUGAGGAAGGCCUUCGGGUUGUAAAACUCUGUUGUUUGGGAAGAAGGGAAAGGGUAGGACACUUAGGUGACGGUACCAAACGAGAAAGCCCCGGCUAACUACGUGC